AUUGAAUGCUGGCGGCAGGCCUAACACAUGCAAGUCGAGCGGGGUUUUCGGACCUAGCGGCGGACGGGUGAGUAAUGCGUAGGAAGCUGCCCGAUAGAGGGGGAUACCAGUUGGAAACGACUGUUAAUACCGCAUAAUGUCUACGGACCAAAGUGUGGGACCUUCGGGCCACAUGCUAUCGGAUGCGCCUACGUGAGAUU
rnacentral:rRNA from 1 species